GCUUGUCGCGAUGGAUCAGGAG
rnacentral:miRNA from 1 species